GAUUAAACUGAAGAGUUUGAUCCUGGCUCAGAUUGAACGCUGGCGGUAUGCUUAACACAUGCAAGUCGAACGGAAACGAUGGAAGCUUGCUUCCAGGCGUCGAGUGGCGGACGGGUGCGUAACGCGUAGGAAUUUACCUUAUAGUCGGGGACAACUUGGGGAAACUCAAGCUAAUACCGGAUAAUCCUUACGAGGGAAAGGGGGCCUCUUCUUGAAAGCUCUCGCUAUUAGAUGAGCCUGCGUCAGAUUAGCUAGUUGGUGAGGUAAAAGCUCACCAAGGCGACGAUCUGUAGCUGUUCUGAGAGGAAGAUCAGCCACACUGGGACUGAGACACGGCCCAGACUCCUACGGGAGGCAGCAGUGGGGAAUAUUGGACAAUGGGGGCAACCCUGAUCCAGCAAUACCGCGUGUGUGAAGAAGGCCCGAGGGUUGUAAAGCACUUUCAGUAGGGAGGAUUGGUUUUUCAGUUAAUAACUGAGAAGCUUGACGUUACCUACAGAAGAAGCACCGGCUAACUCAGUGCCAGCAGCCGCGGUAAUACUGAGGGUGCAAGCGUUAAUCGGAAUUACUGGGCGUAAAGC
rnacentral:rRNA from 1 species